GAACCUAUAGCUCAGUUUGGUAGAGUGCCGCUUGUAAGCGGUUGAGUCAUGGGUUCGAAUCUUAUGAGGUGCA
rnacentral:tRNA from 1 species